rnacentral:rRNA from 1 species
CCUACGGGAGGCUGCAGUGGGGAAUAUUUGGCAAUGGGCGCAAGCCUGACCCAGCAACGCCGCGUGAAGGAAGAAGGCUUUCGGGUUGUAAACUUCUUUUGUCAGGGACGAAGCAAGUGACGGUACCUGACGAAUAAGCCACGGCUAACUACGUGCCAGCAGCCGCGGUAAUACGUAGGUGGCAAGCGUUAUCCGGAUGUACUGGGUGUAAAGGGCGUGUAGGCGGGACUGCAAGACAGAUGUGAAACCGACGGGCUCAACCUGUGGCCUGCAUUUGAAACUGUAGUUCUUGAGUACUGGAGAGGCAGACGGAAUUCCUAGUGGAGCGGUGAAAUGCGUAGAUAUUAGGAGGAACACCAGUGGCGAAGGCGGUCUGCUGGACAGCAACUGACGCUGAGGCGCGAAAGCGUGGGGAGCAAACAGGAUUAGAUACCCCAGUAGUC